GUCGUGGAGGUUAAGUGGCUGCCUCCUUGUUUCUUGUGCCACAAGCUUCCUACUAAUCUUGUUAUCAACCGCUUUAUCGUUUUGGUGGAAGCAAUUAUGAUCUUUCGUCUCUUUUAUGUCUAAGAUUUCUCAAGUAUGUUUUGUUCCAGAGUAUUUCAUGAUCCGCUUUGGCACAUUGCUAAGGUGAGACAGAUGAUUAUAUGAUAUUUGGAUGGAUUGGUGCUACUGAACUUUUUAUUCGGAUUUUUAUUUGGGCUUUGGGUGAGUGUAAUUAGGUAUAUGGACUUUUAUUAUACGAGAUAUUGUUGGUGGUCCGCUGUUCUCCGGAUUGGAGGUGACGGGUGUCACAACAACAUGCAUUACAUCCGCAUUUACUUAUAUUAAAGACCAUCAACAAUGUUUCUGGUGACUUUCGGUGUGAUGCUUGCUGGCGCAGUUGUGGUGGCUUUGUUUAUCAGUGUCCAAAGGAGGAAUGUGACUUCAAGCUAGAUGUGAGGUGUGCUUCCAUUUCAGAGCCUUUUGAUUACCAAGGUCAAUAGGUCAUGAGCAUCCAAUGUUCCUAUCUUUAGACAUAGGCAUGCAGAUGUUAAAUUGCAUCAAAUGCGAUUUUAUUGUGUAUGGAAUGUGCCACCUUAUCAUAUAAAGCAAGGUAUAAGAGCGACAAACAUUUUCUCACACUUUCAUGGGGAGAAGAGAUGUGUGAGAAAUAUUGGUGCGAAGAGUGCGAAAAUAGAGUCGACACAUUCUUCUAUCGGUGUAAUGAUUGCUGCACCAUCCUUCACACUGCCUGCUUAUUCAGCGAAGAUCUAUAUAUGAAACCUGGUCAAUGUUUCCAAUUAUACGGCAAGGAGGUUAAAAUUCUUGCCAAAAGGAAUAUUUCUCGGCCAAUUUGCGAUUAUUGUAGGAAGCCUUGUCAAGGCAAAAUAUUCACAACAGAAGACAGCACA